rnacentral:rRNA from 1 species
UUUCCGGUUGAUCCUAGCCAGACCUGACUGCUAUCGGAUUGAUACUAAGCCAUGCGAGUCGUUGUAGCAAUACAAGGCAUACGGCUCAGUAACGCGUAGUCAACCUAACCUAUGGACGGGAAUAACCUCGGGAAACUGAGAAUAAUGCCCGAUAGAACAUUAUGCCUGGAAUGGUUUAUGUUCCAAAUGAUUUAUCGCCAUAGGAUGGGACUGCGGCCUAUCAGUUUGUUGGUGAGGUAAUGGCCCACCAAGACUAUUACAGGUACGGGCUCUGAGAGGAGUAGCCCGGAGAUGGGUACUGAGACACGGACCCAGGCCCUAUGGGGCGCAGCAGGCGAGAAAACUUUGCAAUGUGCGAAAGCACGACAAGGUUAAUCCGAGUGAUUUCUGCUAAAGAGAUCUUUUGUUAGUCCUAGAAACACUAACGAAUAAGGGGUGGGCAAGUUCUGGUGUCAGCCGCCGCGGUAAAACCAGCACCUCAAGUGGUCAGGAUGAUUAUUGGGCCUAAAGCAUCCGUAGCCGGCUCUGUAAGUUUUCGGUUAAAUCUGUACGCUCAACGUACAGGCUGCCGGAAAUACUGCAGAACUAGGGAGUGGGAGAGGUAGACGGUACUCGGUAGGAAGUGGUAAAAUGCUUUGAUCUAUCGAUGACCACCUGUGGCGAAGGCGGUCUACCAGAACACGUCCGACGGUGAGGGAUGAAAGCUGGGGGAGCAAACCGGAUUAGAUACCCGGGUAGUCCCAGCUGUAAACUAUGCAAACUCAGUGAUGCAUUGGCUUGUGGCCAAUGCAGUGCUGCAGGGAAGCCGUUAAGUUUGCCGCCUGGGAAGUACGUACGCAAGUAUGAAACUUAAAGGAAUUGGCGGGGGAGCACCACAAGGGGUGAAGCCUGCGGUUCAA